rnacentral:lncRNA from 1 species
GAGAUUCUAAAGCUUCGCACGGCGUCGUUUGACAAGGCAACUUUCGGACAAAUCGUCUGCAGCGAAGUAAUCGUCCCAAACAAGAUCGCUCACUGACAAGCGAAGGCGAUAGAUUUGGCGCAGCGAUUUAUACAUGACCCAUCCAAUUUCAAAUCGAUUGAUGUCUGAGUCUCACCGUUGCAUAGCAGGGACGGCGAGUCGGCGAGUGAAGAUCGAGAUGUGGCAGGAGAGUAUGGUGGGAGAUUUGGCGCCAAUUGUUCCUUCUCCCCCUUAUUUAUAGCAUUAUAUGGUAUUUCUUUCCUCUCCACUCAAGUUCUUCUCCUUCUUACUAAUAGCAGACUCCUUCAAUAUGUCUCAACAACCUAGUUUUAAUCAAAGUAAUUCCACCUCUAAUUGCACCUUGCACUCAACUCAACGUUCGCACCCUGCACGUUGCACCCAAUCCAGUGUUUCCGAUCAUCCCAAAUAUUGUUAUUAUGGAAAAUUGGCUCAAUUGAAGAUGGCUUAGACUGUACGGAAUUUGGGGCGCCAAUUUUAUGGAUGUGCUUAUUGGAACCCGCUAUCUGUAUGAAUUUUUAUUUGUUCCUUUAUGAAUACUUGAUACAUACAUAUUACUUAUAAUCUAUUUAUUAGUAAAUACUAAUAAAAAUUUCAAAUCUGAUUUUGCUGAUUUUGUAAAUGGGACUUACUUGUGAUUUUUUUGAGUGCAUUGAUCCUUCUCUAUGUAAGAAGGGGAAGGAAAUUAUUCCUAGAAUUUGGAAUAAACUCAAUGAAACAGAGAAUGAAAAAUAAGACCUUUUCAUGUGAUUUGAAAGCUUGUCGUGCCCAUGAAAAAUAUCUGGUAGAGCAGUUCGCCGAAGCGGUUCAAUAUGAAGGUGAUUUACAAAGUCAGGUAAUUGACAUUUCGAAAUUAUUGUCCAACUAUAAGAAAGAGAGACGUGUGCUCUAUGGGUUGGUUGGAGCUUUGUUUUUGCUUGUGGUUGUCGUUAUUGUCUCUACAUGAAAAGAAGAUGGCUGUUGGUGGCUGGUUUUUGGGUUAUCAUUUCUGCAUGAAGAUGGUUGUUGGUGGCUGAUUUUUGGGUUAUUUAGUAGUCAAUUUUUGAGUUAACCUUGGGCUUAUAAAUGUAUACUUUUGUUGAUAAAAUUUGAAGGUUAUUGAUGUAAAAAUUAGGAAGAAACUACCAACUUAUCGGUAUUUAUGUAAGCUAAUGACUGUCAAAAUGUAAGGAAAAGUUUCGAG